CAGCUGACGAGUCCUAAAUAGGACGAAACGCGCGUCCUG
rnacentral:hammerhead_ribozyme from 1 species